rnacentral:rRNA from 1 species
ACCAGACUCCUACGGGAGGCAGCAGUGAGGAAUAUUGGUCAAUGGCCGAAGGGCUGAACCAGCCAAGCCGCGUGAAGGAAUAAGGCCCUACGGGUCGUAAACUUCUUUAGUCAGGGAACAAAGGGUGCCACGUGUGGCGCUGUGAGUGUACCUGAAGAAUAAGCAUCGGCUAACUCCGUGCCAGCAGCCGCGGUAAUACGGAGGAUCCGAGCGUUAUCCGGAUUUAUUGGGUUUAAAGGGUGCGUAGGCGGUUUGAUAAGUUAGAGGUGAAAUGUCGGGGCUCAACCCCGAAACUGCCUCUAAUACUGUUGGACUAGAGAAUAGUUGCGGUAGGCGGAAUGUAUGGUGUAGCGGUGAAAUGCUUAGAGAUCAUACAGAACACCGAUUGCGAAGGCAGCUUACCAAACUAUAUCUGACGUUGAGGCACGAAAGCGUGGGUAGCAAACAGGAUUAGAUACCCGCGUAAA